rnacentral:rRNA from 1 species
AUUGAACGCUGGCGGCAUGCUUUACACAUGCAAGUCGAACGGUAACAGGGUGCUUGCACCGCUGACGAGUGGCGAACGGGUGAGUAAUGCGUCGGAACGUGCCGAGUAGUGGGGGAUAACGCAGCGAAAGUUGUGCUAAUACCGCAUACGUACUGAGGUAGAAAGUGGGGGACCUUCGGGCCUCACGCUAUUCGAGCGGCCGACGUCUGAUUAGCUAGUAGGUGAGGUAAAGGCACACCUAGGCGACGAUCAGUAGCGGGUCUGAGAGGAUGAUCCGCCACACUGGGACUGAGACACGGCCCAGACGCCUACGGGAGGCAGCAGUGGGGAAUUUUGGACAAUGGGCGAAAGCCUGAUCCAGCCAUGCCGCGUGUAUGAAGGAGGCCUUCGGGUUGUAAAGGACUUUUGUCGGGGAGGAAAUCCCCAGCGUUAAUACCGCUGGGGGAUGACAGUACCUGAAGAAUAAGCACCGGCUAACUACGUGCCAGCAGCCGCAGUAACAC